AGAGUCUGAUCCUGGCUCAGGACGAACGCUGGCGGCGUGCUUAACACAUGCAAGUCGAACGAUGAAAGCGGGAGCUUGCUCCUGCUGGAUUAGUGGCGAACGGGUGAGUAACACGUGAGCAAUCUGCCCCUGACUCUGGGAUAAGCGUUGGAAACGACGCCUAAUACCGGAUACGAGAUGAGACCGCAUGCUCAUCAUCUGGAAAGAACUUCGGUCAGGGAUGAGCUCGCGGCCUAUCAGCUAGUUGGUGAGGUAAUGGCUCACCAAGGCGACGACGGGUAGCCGGCCUGAGAGGGUGACCGGCCACACUGGGACUGAGACACGGCCCAGACUCCUACGGGAGGCAGCAGUGGGGAAUAUUGCACAAUGCGCGCAAGCCUGAUGCAGCAACGCCGCGUGAGGGAUGAAGCCCUUCGGGUUGUAAACCUCUUUUAGCAGGAAAGAAGCGAAAGUGACGGUAUCUGCAGAA
rnacentral:rRNA from 1 species